AUAGGAAAUGAAAAAAGAUGAGAAAAAAUCAAAACUUUAGGACAUUAACACUCCCAAUUUGGUAGUUGAUGGUGGUUGAGGUAUUGAAGUCAAUGGAAAGUUGUAAAUAUUUGGUGGAGAUGAGGAUGGUAAGGUAAAAACCUUAUUUUCGAAAUAUAAGUAAUGGUAUUUUCGUGAAUAACUAGAACUUUCAAGGCGAAUAGAACAAAACAAAGUUUCGAAAAAACAUAAGUUAUUUUUGUGUUUUACUUGAAAUUUUGAGUCAUUUUUGAAAGAACCCCUAUUUUAUAAGGAUAGAUGAUAGCAUAUACAAGAUAUAUAUACUAU
rnacentral:lncRNA from 1 species